GACUGACUUUUUUGAACUCCAGCUCACCAGUGACUUUAACCGUCACUGUUCCGUCAUGCAUCUGACUGCAUGUGUAAGCUGUAGAAACUCUGCCGUUAUCAUAUCCAAGUCGGUGUGUUGUGAGGACUGCUGCCCUGAGAACGCUGAGUGCAUUCUGGAAUAUUCCAAAUGUGUGCCACUUCCAUACUGAAGAAGUUCCAAGCCCGCAAGAGAGUUCACUCACCAGUGGGCUCCAUCAACUAUCCAGGGUAAUGUCAGUCCGUCUGGAUGGCACUACCUGCUACUUGAUGAUGUCUGAUAGCCAUGGCUGAUGCCUUCAACGUGGUAGCCCUCACAAGUAAACUGAUAUCAAGACUUACAUAGAUGGUGAUGGUGGCAAGGGUGCCUUCAGAAGGUGCUAUCCAGCAGUCCCAGCCUGGAGCCAGAAGCUGCUAUUGCAAGUCAGAUGGUGGAGGAAAG